rnacentral:lncRNA from 1 species
AAAAACUUUCCAAAGUCCCCCAGCCAUCAGCCUCAACACCCUGGCUCAGAGCAGAUGACAGGCAGAGGUGAUACCCAACAGCUUUUGUGCCAUGGGGUGAUACCGAAGUGGCUGAGAACCCAAAAGCUCAAGCUGAGCUGUUGAGUGGGGUCUGCUGACACGGUGGUGGCUGUUGAUACCCAGCACUGCUGCUCUUGUGGCAUCCUGUGGGAAAAUGUGGGAUCUGCCCCCUCCCCAGACCCAGGGUGCUGCUCACCCUCCUGGAGCCAGUCAGGAGGUGACAGCCCCAUCCUCCCCUCUCCUCUCAUCCAGGCUGUUAGACCCAAGUCAGGGAUAUUUUUCAAGAUCUUUUCAGCCUACCACUGGGCUCUUUUGAUGUGAACUGUCACUGAUCUGGAGUGAUGAUACAGCAAAAGUGUGACAUGAUGGGUUUCUUCACACCUCAGUCAUCCAUAUGUUGAUGAGAACAGUUCCAGAUCAAUUGUGCUGCUGUGCAUAAAACCCUCUAAAAUAAAAUAUUUU